CACUAUGCCCAGACUAGUUAUUCAAAUUUUGCACAAUUAGUUUUUAAUUUACAACCCAAUAUGAUUUUGUUGUGGCUCAGCAAUACGUAGGGACAGUCCAAGAGACUAAUGCAAACUGGUUGAAACGGAAUGUGUGACCAUUCAAAUCUGUACAAUCGUUGAUUUUUUUACCUUAUUUUAAAUGACUUACGCAAUAUGAAUUUGAAAUCCCAACUUGUAGUUCACCAAUGAUGCUAUAUUAUGCCAAAUCACAACUCAAAAUUUCUCACAGAAUUAUGACUUCAUUAAUUGAGUCACAACUCUUCGUCAUUACCCAGACCUCACUGAUACUUGAAUUUAGAGUAUGAGGUGAAUAACAAUAAUCAAAAUGAGUUUUAAGACAUUGGUUACUUGUAUAUAACUAAACAAACCUAAGAUUAAACCAACGAAACAAAAUACAGGACUUUCAACUUUAACAGUUCGCAAUCCAAAGAAACGUAAAGAAGUUCUGAUUAUACAUGACCCUAUACUAUUGUUCAUGCAAUGUCGAUUAAGGCUAGCUAAAUUACUACAACAACUAGUUAACUACAAACUACAAACAGGAAGCAUUCUUCACACACAGAUCUCAUAAAUCUGAUGAAUAUCUUUAUUUUAACUCCAAUUCACAAGCACACCAUAGCGAGUUCAGAAAUGUGUGCCUGGGGAUCAAAAUUUAGCAGGAAGGAGAAGAAGCUAGCAUAGAAGCACAUACAACAGCGAUUGGAGUUUUCACACAGCAAUAACACAUCAAUUUUAACCCCAGGAAUGAAUCAGUAAUCCAGGAAGUAAACAGAACUGAGAGAUUGACCCACAACAGCACCCCAACAAAACAAGUAAACUCGAAAAUUCACCCAGAAGCACAUAAAACCUUCAUCCAACCAAAGCUCAAUCAAAAACCAAUUCAACCGGCCCCAAAAUCACUCAACAUCCUUCUGGUAAACCUAAAAUUGUGAGUUAAGGCAUUGGUAAUGCCUUUUUAUAGGCAAAAGAUAAGGGUAUCCCCCCAAAUUUCUGUUUUCAUUUUCAGUCUAUAGUUUAUUUCUGUUAGUCCCUUGUUUUCUGACUUACUUCUCAAGUAAGUACACCACAAUUACUUAAAUAUACACUUGAGCCAUAUUCUAGAAGAUUCUAGUGGAUUCUAUUCUAACAUACAACAUUCUAUCUGAUUAUUAGAUACCCAAACUGCCCUUGCAUACUUCUAAAAUUUCUUACUAAACUUUCUUCUAACUCAAGCACAGUCAAUUGGCUACCAAACUAAGAUUUAAUCAGCUAUAUCCAACCAGGUCCACAAACUUUAAGACUGAAUACCAAAACUAAAUCAAACGAAAACUUGAUCCUAAAUCAUACUUCACCAAGCCAUUAAUCAAACGAAAUUAACAAUCAAUAUUAACAUAGACAAAACAAAACAAACAAACACAGAAUCACCAACCAAUAAGGAAGAAACAAUCAGAAAAAGAACAGAAUAAACAGGACCGGAAAAUCAAAACAUGAAUCAAACACGAAUUAAAGUAACAUUAAGACUAUUGAAUUCAAACUAAUAACUACUAUUAUCAAAGCAUGAUCAAUAUAGAGGAAAGCUAAUCCGACUAAUUAACUGAACAAACAAUACAUCAAACCUAAACUCUAUAUCGACCAAACAAUCCUAAAUGAAUGAAACAAAAUUCAGAAUCCUAACUCGAACUAAUGCAAGAAGGAAAAGAAGGAAGUGGACGAAAGAUGAAGAAACUCACCAAUAAUAUGACUGCCUUCCUUAGAUUCCAAGCAUGAGUGCCCUCUAGUGAUAUUUGAACGCCAACAAUGAUAAAAACAUCAUGGGGAAGGCGGGGGGAUCACAUGAUACCGAUUUGGUGAGGUUUAGAGAAACUAGGGUUCACCGGAAAAUCUCAAAUCCAAAUCCGAACAGUUCUUGCGAGAUUUGAGGGAUAUGGCUUGAGUAUUUGGGAUGAGAAGGUUAAGGCGAGUCUAUUGUGUGAAUUUGGUCGGAUUUGGACAACUAUGUAUUUUGGGCGGAAUAUUUCGAUUCAAGAUUCGAUGGCUUGGGGUGGGAUUCGAGAAAAACCAAGUUGGGGGUUGGAAAAAGGAGAGAAAGAGGGUUCUAGGGUGUUAUUUUGGUAGUGUUUGGAGGUGGGCUGCCGGCGGAGACGAUUUCCGGCCGGCGGCGAUGGGUGGCAUUACACAAGGUCUGUGAGGGGUGGUUUGGGGAUNNN
rnacentral:lncRNA from 1 species